ensembl:lncRNA
GUGGAAGGAGGUCUCUGAAGACAUCAGGACCACAGAGAGCCUUCACAUCUUCAGACUAAAGACACACCUCUUCAGACUCUACCUCCACUAACACACUAACUGGAGCACUUACAUUGGACUUAUAAUGGUUCUUAUCUACAGCAAGUUGUAAACUGGCUUAUUUGAUGAAAUUGUUCUUUUCGGUUUCUUGUUCUUCUGAGUUUGUGUCCUGAGUUUGUGAAAUCAGGAAACCUUUAUCGCCAUAAUAUGUCAGACGUGGCAAUAAAUGUUUCCCGGUCCACUGACAUUCCACCAGUCACUUUCUGUUCGCUGGUGCACUUUAUUUUAAAUUUUUAAAUGCACUUAUUGUGAGUCACUUUGGUUAAAAGCAUCAGCUAAAUGACAUGGAAUGGAAUGGAAUGGAAUACAUAGCGGUCUUAUGAGUGCCCUCAGUAUUAAGGUGAUCUACCAGCCUCUCUGGAGAUCUGCAUGAAGGCCUCCACUCCGCUCUCCCCGUAGUUCCCCUCUGAGGCCAACGUGGACACGUAGUUCCACCCCAGAGCUCUGACGAUGUCCAGCAUGGCCUGAGCCUGGUACGAGUCCGGAGGAACCACCCGGGAGAAGAAGUCGUAGCGGUUAUUAUCGCUGAGCUCCGGAGCCGUUGACGCAUAGCUCACCUGGGGGAUCUGGGUCAAUGAUCAAAAUCACUAUAGUUGAUACAGUUGCUUUUUGGCAAAAUACAAAACACAAAACCUGAAACGAGCAGGUGACAGCAUUUGUUGAAGUAAAUGAAAUCAAUAAAGUAUAAAAUAUUAUAAAUUGAUCAUUAAAUCAAUACAUUAUACAAAUGUAUAAUAAUGUAAUAAAAUGUAGGAUGUAGAUAUGCACCUCCCUAUCUACUCCCCAAACCUCCACCCGCAUUAUUAUUAUUAGAAUAAACUGUUCUGAGGGAUCCGGAGAUGCUGUAGUUAACCUUAGACCUGAGAUCAGGGCCUCGUUCCUCGUAUGUGGCUAACUGAGUUAGCAUCAUCACAAAGACGUUAUGACAUCACUUCCUGUACGAGCUCAUCGAUGCUGAAGACAAGAAAUCAUUUAUUUACAAGACGACAACGUUACAUGAUGAACAGCACACAUCUACUGUCUCACACACUGUCUCACACUGUCUCACACUGUCUCACAUACAGUCCCACACACUGUCUCACACACUGUCUCACACUGUCUCACAUACUGUCUCACACUGUCUCACAUACUGUCUCACACUGUCUCACAUACAGUCCCACACACUGUCUCACACACUGUCUCACACUGUCUCACACUGUGUCUCACACUGUGUCUCUCACACUGUCUCUCACACUGUCUCACACACUGUGUCUCACACUGUCUCACACACUGUGUCUCACACUGUCUCACACACUGUCUCUCAAACACUGUCUCACACACUGUCUCACACACUGUGUCUCACACUGUCUCACACACUGUCUCUCACACUGUCUCACACACUGUGUCUCACACUGUCUCUCAUACUGUCUCUCAUACUGUCUGUACGGUGUUGCGAUGCAGAGAACAUCUGGAAAGCCGCUGCAUGUCGUGCUCUUCGUAAAGUUCUGUUGGUUUAUUUGUCUCUUAAUAAACUUCUGGAUGUUCCACAUUUCACUGCUUCAAUUGAUCAAAUGUCUGAUUAUCAACAGUAUAUUUAACGAUCACAUGUAA